AUGAACGCUGGCGGCGUGCCUAAUACAUGCAAGUCGAGCGAACAGACGAGGAGCUUGCUCCUCUGACGUUAGCGGCGGACGGGUGAGUAACACGUGGAUAACCUACCUAUAAGACUGGGAUAACUUCGGGAAACCGGAGCUCAUACCGGAUAAUAUAUUGAACCGCAUGGUUCAAUAGUGAAAGACGGUUUUGCUGUCACUUAUAGAUGGAUCCGCGCCGCAUUAGCUAGUUGGUAAGGUAACGGCUUACCAAGGCAACGAUGCGUAGCCGACCUGAGAGGGUGAUCGGCCACACUGGAACUGAGACACGGUCCAGACUCCUACGGGAGGCAGCAGUAGGGAAUCUUCCGCAAUGGGCGAAAGCUUGACGGAGCAACGCCGCGUGAGUGAAGAAGGUCUUCGGAUCGUAAAACUCUGUUAUUAGGGAAGAACAAAUGUGUAAGUAACUAUGCACGUCUUGACGGUACCUAAUCAGAAAGCCACGGCUAACUACGUG
rnacentral:rRNA from 1 species